rnacentral:rRNA from 1 species
GGGUUGUGAGGUUAAGCGACUAAGCGUACACGGUGGAUGCCCUGGCAGUCAGAGGCGAUGAAGGGCGUGCUAAUCUGCGAUAAGCGCCGGUAAGGUGAUAUGAACCGUUAUAACCGGCGAUACCCGAAUGGGGAAACCCAGUGUGACUCGUCACACUAUCAUUAACUGAAUCCAUAGGUUAAUGAGGCGAACCGGGGGAACUGAAACAUCUAAGUACCCCGAGGAAAAGAAAUCAACCGAGAUUCCCCCAGUAGCGGCGAGCGAACGGGGAGGAGCCCAGAGCCUGAAUCAGCAUGUGUGUUAGUGGAAGCGUCUGGAAAGACGCGCGAUACAGGGUGACAGCCCCGUACACAAAAGCGCAUGUGUUGUGAGCUCGAUGAGUAGGGCGGGACACGUGGUAUCCUGUCUGAAUAUGGGGGGACCAUCCUCCAAGGCUAAAUACUCCUGACUGACCGAUAGUGAACCAGUACCGUGAGGGAAAGGCGAAAAGAACCCCGGCGAGGGGAGUGAAAAAGAACCUGAAACCGUGUACGUACAAGCAGUGGGAGCACAGGUUUACCUGUGUGACUGCGUACCUUUUGUAUAAUGGGUCAGCGACUUAUAUUCUGUAGCAAGGUUAACCGAAUAGGGGAGCCGGAGGGAAACCGAGUCUUAAUUGGGCGUUAAGUUGCAGGGUAUAGACCCGAAACCCGGUGAUCUAGCCAUGGGCAGGUUGAAGGUUGGGUAACACUAACUGGAGGACCGAACCGACUAAUGUUGAAAAAUUAGCGGAUGACCUGUGGCUGGGGGUGAAAGGCCAAUCAAACCGGGAGAUAGCUGGUUCUCCCCGAAAGCUAUUUAGGUAGCGCCUCGUGAACUCAUCUCCGGGGGUAGAGCACUGUUUCGGCUAGGGGGCCAUCCCGGCUUACCAACCCGAUGCAAACUGCGAAUACCGGAGAAUGUUAUCACGGGAGACACACGGCGGGUGCUAACGUCCGUCGUGAAGAGGGAAACAACCCAGACCGCCAGCUAAGGUCCCAAAGUCAUGGUUAAGUGGGAAACGAUGUGGGAAGGCCCAGACAGCCAGGAUGUUGGCUUAGAAGCAGCCAUCAUUUAAAGAAAGCGUAAUAGCUCACUGGUCGAGUCGGCCUGCGCGGAAGAUGUAACGGGGCUAAAUCAUGCACCGAAGCUGCGGCAGCGACACUCAGGUGUUGUUGGGUAGGGGAGCGUUCUGUAAGCCUGUGAAGGUGUGUCGUGAGGCAUGCUGGAGGUAUCAGAAGUGCGAAUGCUGACAUAAGUAACGAUAAAGCGGGUGAAAAGCCCGCUCGCCGGAAGACCAA